ACGAACGCUGGCGGCGUGCCUAACACAUGCAAGUCGAGCGGAGACAGUGAGUAGCUUGCUAUGAGCUGUUUUAGCGGCGGACGGGUGAGUAACGCGUGAGCAACCUUUCCCAGACAGGGGAAUAACACACCGAAAGGUGUACUAAUACCGCAUAAGACCACGGAAUCACAUGGUUCUGGGGUAAAAGAUUUAUCGGUUUGGGGUGGGCUCGCGUCCGAUUAGGUAGUUGGUGAGGUAACGGCCCACCAAGCCGACGAUCGGUAGCCGACCUGAGAGGGUGAUCGGCCACAUUGGGACUGAGACACGGCCCAAACUCCUACGGGAGGCAGCAGUGGGGAAUAUUGGGCAAUGGAGGAAACUCUGACCCAGCAACGCCGCGUGGAGGAAGAAGGUUUUCGGAUCGUAAACUCCUGUCCUUGGAGACGAGUAGAAGACGGUAUCCAAGGAGGAAGCCCCGGCUAACUACGUGCCAGCAGCCGCGGUAAUACGUAGGGGGCAAGCGUUGUCCGGAAUAAUUGGGCGUAAAGGGCGCGUAGGCGGCUCGGUAAGUCUGGAGUGAAAGUCCUGCUUUUAAGGUGGGAAUUGCUUUGGAUACUGUCGGGCUUGAGUGCAGGAGAGGUUAGUGGAAUUCCCAGUGUAGCGGUGAAAUGCGUAGAGAUUGGGAGGAACACCAGUGGCGAAGGCGACUAACUGGACUGUAACUGACGCUGAGGCGCGAAAGUGUGGGGAGCAAACAGGAUUAGAUACCCUGGUAGUCCACACUGUAAACGAUGAAUGCUAGGUGUAGGGGGUAUCGACCCCUUCUGUGCCGCAGUCAACACAAUAAGCAUUCCGCCUGGGGAGUACGGCCGCAAGGUUGAAACUCAAAGGAAUUGACGGGGGCCCGCACAAGCAGCGGAGCAUGUGGUUUAAUUCGACGCAACGCGAAGAACCUUACCAGGUCUUGACAUCCACUUAAACUUACAGAGAUGUAAGGUGUGCUUGCACAAAGUGAGACAGGUGGUGCAUGGUUGUCGUCAGCUCGUGUCGUGAGAUGUUGGGUUAAGUCCCGCAACGAGCGCAACCCUUAUCCUUUGUUGCCAGCGGUCCGGCCGGGAACUCAAAGGAGACUGCCAGUGAUAAACUGGAGGAAGGUGGGGAUGACGUCAAAUCAUCAUGCCCCUUAUGCUUAGGGCUACACACGUGCUACAAUGGCUAGUACAGAGGGUUGCGAAGUCGCGAGGCCAAGCUAAUCCCUUAAAGCUAGUCUCAGUUCGGAUUGCAGGCUGAAACUCGCCUGCAUGAAGCUGGAGUUGCUAGUAAUCGCGGAUCAGCAUGCCGCGGUGAAUACGUUCCCGGGCCUUGUACACACCGCCCGUCACACCAUGGGAGUUGGGAGUGCCCAAAGCCGGUGAGGCAACCGCAAGGAGCCAGCCGUCUAAGGCAAGACCAAUGACUGGGGUG
rnacentral:rRNA from 1 species